rnacentral:rRNA from 1 species
CUACCGGGGUUUCUAAUCCUGUUUGCUCCCCACGCUUUCGCACCUGAGCGUCAGUCUUUGUCCAGGGGGCCGCCUUCGCCACCGGUAUUCCUCCAGAUCUCUACGCAUUUCACCGCUACACCUGGAAUUCUACCCCCCUCUACAAGACUCUAGCCUGCCAGUUUCGAAUGCAGUUCCCAGGUUAAGCCCGGGGAUUUCACAUCCGACUUGACAGACCGCCUGCGUGCGCUUUACGCCCAGUAAUUCCGAUUAACGCUUGCACCCUCCGUAUUACCGCGGCUGCUGGCAC